GGGCUCUUGGCACAGUUGGUAGCGCGCACGCUUCGCAUAUUUAUUCGCAGUUGCGUGAGGUCGUGAGUUCGACUCUCACAGUGUCCA